rnacentral:rRNA from 1 species
GACACUCGGCAACGGAUAUCUCGGCUCUCGCAUCGAUGAAGAACGUAGCGAAAUGCGAUACCUGGUGUGAAUUGCAGAAUCCCGCGAACCAUCGAGUCUUUGAACGCAAGUUGCGCCCGAGGCCACUCGGCCGAGGGCACGCCUGCCUGGGCGUCA